rnacentral:rRNA from 1 species
GCGCACGCUGGCGGCAGGCCUAACACAUUCCAGUCGAACGAACCUUUCGGGGUUAGUGGCGGACGGGUGAGUCACACGUGGGAACGUGCCUUUAGGUUCGGAAUAACUCAGGGAAACUUGUGCUAAUACCGAAUGUGCCCUUCGGGGGAAAGAUUAAUCGCCUUUAGAGCGGCCCGCGUCUGAUUAGCUAGUUGGUUGAGGUAAUGGCUCACCAAGGCGACGAUCAGUAGCUGGUCUGAGAGGAUGAUCAGCCACAUUGGGACUGAGACACGGCCCAAACUCCGACGGGAGGCAGCAGUGGGGAAUCUUACGCAAUGGGCGAAAGCCUGACGCAGCCAUGCCGGGUGAAUGAUGAAGGUCUUAGGAUUGUAAAAUUCUUUCACCGGGGACGAUAAUGACGGUACCCGGAGAAGAAGCCCCGGCUAACUUCGUG